CGGGGUGUAGCUCAGUUUGGUAGAGCGCUUGGUUCGGGACCAAGAGGCCAUGGGUUCAAGUCCCGUCACUCCGACCA
rnacentral:tRNA from 3 species